rnacentral:rRNA from 1 species
GACGAACGCUGGCGGCGUGCUUAACACAUGCAAGUCGAACGGAAAGGCCCUGCUUGCAGGGUACUCGAGUGGCGAACGGGUGAGUAACACGUGGGUGAUCUGCCCUGCACUUCGGGAUAAGCCUGGGAAACUGGGUCUAAUACCGGAUAGGAGCCAUUUUUAGUGUGAUGGUUGGAAAGUUUUUUCGGUGUAGGAUGAGCUCGCGGCCUAUCAGCUUGGUGGUGGGGUAAUGGCCUACCAAGGCGGCGACGGGUAGCCGGCCUGAGAGGGUGGACGGCCACAUUGGGACUGAGAUACGGCCCAGACUCCUACGGGGGGCAGCAGUGGGGAAUAUUGCACAAUGGGCGCAAGCCGGAUGCAGCGACGCCGCGUGGGGGAUGACGGCCUUCGGGUUGUAAACUCCUUUCGCUAGGGACGAAGCUUUUUGUGACGGUACCUAGAUAAGAAGCACCGGCUAACUACGUG